AGCCAAACAAGCUGCCUUCGGCAAGGGCAGAGAAGCUGAGCUAAGGAUGGACUUUUCCAUCUUAUCUGACAACACGGCUGGAUAAAUUUUGAAGUGCCAGAAGCUCCUGCAAUACUCAACAGCUAAGUUUCAGAUGAUUCUGAUGAAAAUGCGGUGUCGGGAGAAAUGUGCCCUCCCUGAAGUAGCUGCUCUUUACGGUCUCUUAUUCAUCAAAAAGGUACGGGAAGGCUGCCACGGAAGCAAGCAUUCAUCUGCCUAUCCCCUGGCAGAGGAGUGAGGAGCGAGCCCUGCACACCGUGGGCUCAGAGGCGGCGCAGGGACCAGUCCCGCCGUGUCCACGUGUCCGUCUGUCCGGCACCUUGUGCCCAGGUGCACGGUGCAGCCACCGUCCUGGGGCCAGGGCGCUCCGGUGGCAGCGGCUGAUCCCAAAAAUGCCCCCGCCAGCAGGUUGACAUUUAGUGCUUUGGACUGGUUUUGAACUCCAUCAGACUUUCAGACCAUACCAUCUGUUUCCAACUGGGAAACAAUAGGCUGGCAAAGCAUCAGCCCCUCAUGGCAGGGAUCGAGGGGAUAAAUCGGAAAACUCAAACCAGAUGCAUUUUGUUGUAACAGGAAGCAAUUGCAUUGCUCUGGGCCUCUGAUAAAAUACAUUUUCAAGGGGCUGAAAAUGGCCUCAGGCAGCAAGCCUCUCCGUAUUAGAUCUUCUUCGUGCACCCUGCAGGACCCCAGCUUGCUCCGAGCCCGCUCCCAGCCAGCGGGAAGCGGGGCUGCAGCGUGCGUGCAGCACCAUCGGCCCUCCAGCGGAGCGUCAGGUUUUCAGUGUCUUGUCAUUCUGGCUGCUUUCAGCACAAAUCCACUCGAGACAGAUGUGAAUGGCUUUUACCAGAGCCUGCAGCUUCUUCCUGAGAGGCACAGAGCUCUAGCUGUGCCAGGGCUGCCCCGGCCCGCUCCACGGCCCCAUCCCCUGGGAGGUGGCUUUGCCACCGUGGUUGUCGCAGCGGGUGUCAUGGGAAGCCACCGGGGCCGCGUCUGCCUUUUGCCCUGUCCCUCAUCCAAAAUGUCAACUCUGGAAGAUCUCACCAGAGGCCUUUCCCUUCUCCAGAGGCCGUGGUUGCAUCUGCACCCAGUGCUGCUCUCCACACCCCGUGUUUGCUCCCAGCACCUUGUGUCCUACACCAGCUUUGUGCAGGUGUUUGUAGCACAUGCAGCACGGCUGCACAGCGCUGAAGACUGCUGAUGAGUUUACGGGUACCAUCGGCUGGCUCCGGCUUACUCUAGGUUUCAUUACAUCCAAUUAUUUCAUGCAAUUUAUCUCCAAGCUGGGCUCAAGCACGGCUGGGUGCAGUUGCUGCUCUUGCACUUUUCAGGACAAACCGACCUGUGACCGUGCAGCUGCUAACAGCAGUCCCAGGGCUCAGGCUAACUUUCAGAUGGAUUUUAGCAUUUUCAAUUUCAACUGCAUUUUUUAAUGUCUGCUGAGCAAAUGUCUGUAAUAGUGAUGAAGGGAUUUCUUUUUAUGAUUUACUACAAAGAACAGACUUUGAAACCCACCGAGUCCCGCUGCAGAGGCCAGCUCCUCAUUUUGCCAUGAUUUUAUAGGAGUGCUUUUGCACCGUGUGCUUCUGAGGAUGAAAACAACCCCAAUAUUUUCUUUGUGCUGUUUGUUUUAAUGCAGAAAGGAGAUUUUCCUUCAAGUGGCUUAUAAUAAAAUAUAUAUUUUUAUUUCAUACAGCUCAUAAACCUUUCCCUGCUAUUGUGAGCAGGUGUACAAGCCACACCUGAAAGCAGAGGUGAAAUGUAACUGCAAUUGCUCCGCUCUUUGUAGGAGCUGCAAUGGGAGAGCUGGGGCAGGGGAAAAAAACGAAGGCACCGGGAGAGGCCAGCACAGCCCCGAGCCACAUCAGGGCCGGCACCUCCUGGGGGUCCUCAGCUGCUCGAAGGCUUGCAGGGGCCAGGUUGCAGAGAGGCCGUGCAGGCACUCACACCAAGCAUCCCAGCACCACCGCGCUGCAGGUGAAUCACAGCUGCUCCUGCCUGCCCCAGGCAUCUGGACCCCGUUACUGGUCGAUGAAUUUGGAACCAGGAAUUUCUCUGCCCAGACAGAAGCGCCUCAGCUGGGGUGUGCAGGGUGCAGGAGGGCUGUGCGGGGCAUGCAGUCUGUGCAGGGCAUGCAGAGCUGUGUGGGACUCCCCAGCCACCGCUGAGAGCAGCGGCCACAAAAGUGGGUCUUGCUUUGCUUUUCUGCACUUCCUUCUGUUUGUUUCCCAGAACGGCUUUGGGGAAAAGCCAGCGGAAAAAUGGAAAAGCAGAGAAGGAACAGAAAACUCCUGUAAAAAUAAAAAAAGCUGAAAAUGAUCUGCAUAUCUUUGGACAGCAUUUAACUGCAUUUGAAAGCAAAACUCCAUUUAGUUUUGAAGUAUCAAAUAUAAUCAAUGUGUGUGAGCCCAAAUCACAGCUCUGAUUCUGAGAAAACAAAUUUCAAAUAGUUAAGAAAAAAAAAUGCGGUUGAAACACUUCAGUUAACUCCAGCUAUCAUAUUUUCUCAAAUUUGUCCUGGAGCCUCCCUAGAUUUCCUCAUUAAUCCCCAAAUGAAAUUCAAUUCAUUUCAUAUGUUCCUAGUGCCUGAACCAAUUAAUGUAUCCUCUGGUUCUUAAAAACCCACUCCUAUAGGAUAGCAAGCCCUGCAAUGACCUUGUGGUAAUUCUGAACCCAGGAGCUGCACAGGGAGCUAGGGACUUUGGCUUGCCUAGGAGAGCAAGGAGCGCCGCGACAGUCACAAAACCUCUUUCUAGAUGUUGCCCUAUUACUAGUUACUUUUCUGUUGCAAGGGCAGCCCUGAAGGAAGAAAAACAGCAGAGAGCAAAUGAUAAAAUUGCUUCUCUUCUAUUCUGUGCUUUGACACUGAUAAGGCUGUGCAAGCUCCCAGCUACAGCUCAUGUAGCUGGGAGCUCAGCCAACAAACAUGUCAUCUGUCCUGGGAAGCAGAGUAGCAUGGCCAGGAGGAAAGAGAAGAGAAGGGAAAAAAAAAUAGAAAAGAACGGAGGCCUGAAAAUGCUGCACUUCAGUAGGUUACAGAUUGUGUCUAAUUAGUAUUUUCCUUGCAAAAUAUUUGGUCUUACUGCUGCUCCCGUCUCACUUAGCAGGUGCGACGAGGAAAGCUUUGUGGUUUACUGCGGCCCUGGGGAUGCUGCCCGUGUCUGCCCACAGGCACCAAGCCGCCGAUAAGGCAGUCUCCGACAGCCAGAGCUCUGCGUCAGCUGCAAGCCUAAAACUAAUAUUUUGCUACAAGGGCUUGAACUGCAAAGCAAAGCAGUAGGGCUCUAGGUAUUUGUUUCAUAAAUAGAGAGCUGUGUCCAGCGCCCUGAUCCAACCGCUCCUAGAGGAACACAGUGCAGCAGCCAGCUGCCGGGGCGCAAAGGGAGUGCUGCUGCUGGCGGCGUGCGGCCACUUAGGCACAAGUGGAUGCUGAGUGUCUUCAGCACAUCCUCCAAACCAACACCCUGGGUGAGCUGCAUUGCCCUCCCGUAGCCUCUUUAUUCUAGAGCCAGCUCCUUUGUGCAGGCACUGCCCUGACCUGGGUCUUGUGCUGCCUCUCGCAGUGACUCCGGACAUGGCCUCAGGUGGCAGGGAGCAAGCAUGAAGGCGUGUGCCUGCGGGGCUGAUCGCCGGGUGGAUCCUUGUAUUCACUUCUAAGGGCUUUCUUCCUUCCCUUCUGGGCGCGGGGGAGAGGUAUUUCCUUGUUCCCAUGCACCAGGGCGAGCACGGCUGGCUGAUGUCUUCACCAUCUGAGCUGCUCCGUGGUAAAAAUAGACGCGAGAAGUCAAGGGAACUCUAACCCCCAUGGAGCUGCCAAAGGGAUUGCCACAAUUUUUUGCUGCCGUUUCAUGAAUAUUGCCUCAAAUAUGGAUUCCGCGAUGUUUUUCCAGUCUCUAGUUUCUCAUUAUAAACAGAGCAGCAUCCACUGGAAAAAUGUGCUCCACCUUCCCUGCUGCUCCCCUGGCUGGGACCCCUGGGCGCUGCCUUCUCCCAGGGGCCGCGGGUUCCUCUUGACUCUGCAUGCAUCCCCUUGCUGGCGGCAGCCCCUGCCUCCUGCCCCAAAGCUGGCUCAGAUUUUUCUCUUUCCACCUGGGAUGCCUCCCUGAGCCAUCACCAGUACAAAAUAGGGUUUCCUGGGGCGGGCGUGAUGGACCCUCCAUGAGCGAUGGGCACCAAGUGCCACCUUGGGCUGGUGGCCACACAGGGCUGGUGGCAGCGCGCCUCCCAGUCCUUGGCCUCUUGGUUGCUGGAUAUACCAGCAGCAUGAGCUGGCAAAGCCGCUUCUUGUAACAAAAUGAGUCAGAUUCAUUCUCCAGUGUUGCAAAAUACAUGGGUUUAUCUCUUAGAAGUCAUUAAUAUGUGAGUUUCAUUUUGUUUGGGUUUAUGUAAUCGGGAAAUACCCCUAACCCAGAAAUAUCCCUCUUCAGCUGAUUUUUCAGAAUUAUUCUUCUUUUUAUUUCCAAUUAGCUCUUGGCACAGAUUUUUUGUAGUGGGGUUUCAGCCAAAAGGAGAUUUAUAGAGUUGGGCCGUGAGCUCCCAGCACGGCUGGGAGCAGGGACCAGAGCCGCCUGUCCCCAGCCAGAGCAGGGCAAGGGACAGCAGUGGGGAAACCUCGGCGUCAUCUUCUGACACGGCUGGAAAAGGCCCCUGUGUCUGACGGCACAAUGGGAUUCGUUGGGAAGUAAUGGUUUGAGGGGAGAAGGAUUCAGAACAAAAAUCUUGUGCAAGCUGUGAAACUGGCUCAUUGUUACUGCAAGGGCAGAAGAGGCCUGGCUGCACAGCAGGAAGCAGCCCUCCUGUCCUCCUGUCCUCCUGUCCGCCUGCUUCCUCAGUCUGGGCACCAGGAACGUUUCUGCAGGAAGGCCUGGAGGGCUGGGGGGACACCAAGGGGACACCGCUCAGCUGUCACCAUCCCUGUCCCUGCCAUGGGGACACUGCCCGCGGGCUGGCCCCACGCCCCCCCCAUGCAGCCCAUCUGCGGUGCUGGGCAGUGAUGAGCUGGGGCAAUAUUUAUUUGAAUCGACUGCUUGGUGGGUGAUGUAACCGGAAUCGGCAAAAGGAAAAAGCCAAAUAAGGCAGCAUUUUAGUGAAAAUAUGUCCUAAAAUGGGAGCUGGACUGAUGAUUAGUGAGAGCAAAACACAGAUAUGAUAUUACCAUGUUGAGAGCCCCACACAGCCUCAGGCUGCUGGAAAAAGAAAAAAAAAAUAAAA